UACAGAGGGUGCAAGCGUUGUUCGGAAUUAUUGGGCGUAAAGCGUGCGUAGGUGGUUUGUUAAGUCUGAUGUGAAAGCCCUGGGCUCAACCUGGGAACGGCAUUGGAAACUGGCUUACUAGAGUGCGGUAGAGGGGUGUGGAAUUCCCGGUGUAGCAGUGAAAUGCGUAGAUAUCAGGAAGAACACCCGUGGCGAAGGCGGCUCUCUGGGACGGUACUGACGCUGAGACGCGAAAGCGUGGGGAGCGAACAGG
rnacentral:rRNA from 1 species